CCCCAAAAAAAGACAAGUAGUACGGGAAAAUCUUACCAGCAACAUGAAGAUUCCACCAGAAUAUAAUCAAAACAAUGAGUUGAGAAUGAGGAAUGGAGAAGGCGAGAGAACAGUGGAAAUCAGCAGCGUGAAGUUAAAGUCUUGUGGGACUGCUAAGAAAAGGAAUUGAAGCCAGUUGUCCCAAAAGUUAGUACAAGUGUAACAAAAGAACAGAUGAAGAAACAAAAUGCAUACAACAUGAAAACCAAAAUACAACCAAGUUACAAAACAAAAUGUAGAGAGAGAGUGUCCCCUUCUCUCUAAAAAUAUCAGUAUUGGCCACUAUUUUACCAAUAACUCCUCCAUUUGAGGUACGAUGACUACGCCGGCGGGUCUUCCUUCGGCAGUGGGAGUCGCUCCUGACUUACGCACACAGCCGAAUCAAUCUACUCCAUCAUCUACUUCUAACCAAAACUCUUAUGCUCUGUUGGUGGCACAAAAAUCAACUGCUCCUCGAGUCUCUGUUAAGACCACUACAUUCAAAGGCAAACCUGCGACCUUUUUUAAAGCUACCGAUUACUAUGGUGUAAUGGCGGAUAAAUGAAAACUCACCUUGGUGGGUAAAUUUUCAUCUGGCAAACCUAAAUUGGAGAAAAUACGAUCAGAUUCCAAGGCUCAAUUCCUAGUUAAACAGGUAAAAAUUGGGCUUUUUUAUUAUAGACAUGUUUUUAUUGAUUUUACUUACAAGGAGGAUUGUACCAAUGUCUAUUUCAAACGUAUGAUGAAUAUCAGAGGGUUUCUUAUGCGUAUAUUCAAAUGGACUCCGGACUUUAAACCGGAAGAAGAAACCUGCUAGCCCCAAUUUGGGCACUAUUACCUCAACUCCUGUGGCAUUUGCAUGAAUGGUGGUAUGUGGAAAAUAUUCUAAGUACGGUAGGAACACCAUUGCAAAUUGAUCAAGCUACUACCAACCGAACUAGACCUCACCUGGAUAAAGUAAGGAUCGAAGUGGUUUUGAGACAACCUCUACCAAAUUCAGUUUGGGUAGGCACUUUAGAUGAAGAAGGAAAUCCUCUUGGGGUUUAUGAUCAACCUAUAGAGUAUGAGGGUAUCCCAGGUUAUUGCUUACAAUGUAAACAUCAAGGGCACUCCAUUCAAGAAUGUGUUCAUCAUGAGAAAAAUAAGGGAAAGGGAAAAGAGAAGGUUCAAGAACUAUCCAACUCUCAGGAAGAUCAACAACAAACUCAAAAGAAUCAGAACCAAAAGCUCCCAAAACUCAAGAAGUCCAACAGCAGAACCAGAAAAAUAACCAUCCUACCCAAGGAAAAAAUGGGGAGGAUAGAGGUAACAAAAAAUAUCAACACAACAACAAUGUGGCUGAGCAAGUUUUCAAUCGUAUCAAGGAUAAUAAUAAGACUGCAACUACUGAUCCUAUUGUCAAGGCUACUCCUAAUGCUGCUAUUGAGUCCACUAUUGUUACUACUAAGGAAAAAAAUGUUGUUCUUGUAAAAGGUUUCACUGAAGUCGCCCAUAAGGAAUCCUCUGUUGCUGCUACUACUCGUGCUACCGAGAAGGAAUUAACUAAGGAGAUCUCUAUAUCCAAUGUGAGCAAUACAUCAAGUAGAAAGUGCCAAUCCUGAAGAACCAAGAUUUGAGGAGGUCUCAAAAAAAAAGGAAUUUGUAGAAAGAUUUUACCUGGUGACAAUUUGAAAGGUGGGGUCACUACUAUCGAUCUGGAUAAUGCUUUUAACUCUCUUAGGAAUGACCAUCUUGAGGAUUCUAUUGAUGACCCCGGAGACCUUGAUACGAGUAAUGACAAGAAGCAUGACAAUGAUACUUUUUCUGAUAAGGAAGUGGAGCAUCAGAACCUGAAUUACUCUAAAUCUGAUGAUGAAAGUUCUAGGAGAUCCAUUCAUGAAUAUUCUACAAGAGGAACUGGUCAUCAAGAAGCAAAUAAAAAAAAAUGUCAACCCAGAAUACAGGGCAGGUAACUUAUCUCCAAGAGGUACCAAUAUUCAUGAAUUGAUGAGCAAAAACUUUUCUCCAAGAAAAACUAUAGCUCAAAAGCUCAACAAAAAACUACUCCCUAAUGUUUCCCAUGAUUAGUAUGAUCUCUUGGAAUUUAGGAGUGUAACGACUAUGGAUGCUUUUGAAAGCUAAAGCCUCUUAAAAGUAAAUAUAAUAUUUAUUUAACUAUGCUCCAAGAACCUAUCCUACAAGACUUUUCAGGGCUGGAUACUAUUGAGAAAUAUAGGGUAAUGUUGGGGAUGGAUAAUUGUUAUGGAAAUAGUAAAACAAAAUAUGGUUGUAUUGGGAUGAUUGCUAUGAUAUUUCCAUUAUUUCAACCAGUGAACAAUAGGUAACCAUUAGUAUCAAGGGACUAGCUGGUUCUAAUUUGACUUUCCUCACCAUUGUUUAUGCUAAAUGUGAUGCUCAGCUAAGAAAAGAUCUUUGGGUUUCCUUUGAAAAUCAAUCAACAAUAGUUGGCCAUACAUAGGGUGUUAUAGGGGACUUUAAUGUGAUCACUAGUGCAGAAGAAAAGAAGGGAGGGAGACCCUUCAGUACCUUGAAAAGUGUAGAUUUUAUUAAAUGUAUAGAAGAUUCUGGGUUACAAGAUGCAGGCUUUCAUGGACAACCCUUCACUUGGUGUGAUAACAGAGGUUCAAAAGCCAUCUGGAAGAGAUUGGAUAGGCUCCUGAUUAAUGCUGAAUGGUUUUCUAGUUUUGAUGUGUCUAUAAUCAAUCAUUUGGCUAGAACAGGGUCUGACCAUGCUCUUUUAUUGGUCAAUUUGGCUCAAGAAAUUUAUACUCCUAUUAAAUUUUUCAGAUUCUUAAUUUAUGGGUAGACCAUCCUGAUUUCCUUAAUACUGUUCAACAAUCUUGGGAGGACAAUAUCAAUGGAAACCCUUUAUGGAUCCUCCACCAGAGGUGAAAAGGACUUGCAAGAACUUGAGUUCUUGGUCUAGAGCAACUUUUGGAGAUAUUUCUGAAGAAGUGGACAAACUGGAGGCUAAGGUCUCAUAAUUAGAACAACAAUUCAUUCAAGACAGCUCUACUACCAAUUGAACCCUGUUAAAUCAGGCCAAUGCAACUUAUAUACAGGUCCUGAAAAGGAAGGAGGAUUUUCUGAGACAAAAACCUAGAAUUAAAUGGCUUACUGAAGGUGACUCCAAUUCUGCAUACUUUCAAAGCACUAUCAAGAACAGAAGAAGGAGGCUCAACAUUCAACAAAUCAAGGAUGAUAAUGGUAAUUGGGUGAUAGGCAGACAAGAAAUUGCUAAUGCAGUUGUCAGUUUCUUUCAAAAGUUAUGUUGCUCUCCUCCAAAUGAAGUUGAUUUUGAUAUACUGGAUUGUCUUCCUUCCUUGGUCACUGAGGAUGAUAAUGAGGGUCUUAUUUCUAUGCCUGACUCACAAGAAAUCAAAGAUGCGGUUAUGUCAAUUGAUCCACAUAGUGCUCCAGGACCAGAUGGUCUCAAUGGUAUAUUUUUCCAAUCUAGCUACCUGGAGUAUUAUUUCUUUUGAUUUAACUAAUGUUAUUCAAAGUUUAUUCAGGGGUGCUCAGCUUCCUAAAUUCUAUACCGAUACUUGUUAGGUAGUGUUACCAAAAGUGGAGCAUCCUCAACAUUUCUCUGAAUUCAAGCCUAUCAGCUUAUGUAAUGUCACUAGCAAGGUUAUCUCUAAAAUUCUCAAUAAUAGACUCUCUACUUUGCUUCCUAAAAUCAUAUCUACUAAUCAAAGUGGCUUUGUUAAAGGUAGAGUGAUCUCAGAGAAUAUUCUCUUGGCCCAAGAGAUUAUUAAUGACAUGAAUAAACCCAACAUAGGGGGUAAUCUUGUUAUUAAACUUGAUAUGGUCUCUUGGCCCUAUUUAUUCAAAGUCUUGAGAAAAUUUGGCUUUUCAGAAUGAUGGAUAGAAAUUAUAUAUAGGUUUAUUUCCAACAAUUGGUACUCAAUUGUUAUCAAUGGUGGUAGGUAUGGUUUCUUUAAAUCUAAAAAUGGUCUUAGACAAGGGGACCCUAUAUCCCCAUCUCUUUUUGAUCUAAGUGUUGAACUCCUGUCUAUUUUGCUUAAUAAUUUAAAUAAUGACUAGGGGUUUAGGAAUUUCUAUAUGAAUAAGAGGGGCCCUAUUAUCAAUCACUUGUGUUUCGAUGAUGAUGUUAUUCUUUUUUCAAGUGGAAAUAGGAAAUCCCUUAAGAGAAUUAUGAGGACUUUGAAAACUUAUGAAGAUGUUUCUGGCCAAUUGGUUAAUAAGCACAAAAGCUCCGUUAUUCUUCAUGAUAAGGCUUGUGCUAGGAGAAUUGACAGAGUUAAGAGAAUUAGUACCAUGAAACAAGAAUUUUUUCCUAUAAAUUAUCUUGGCUGCCCUUUGUAUUUGGGAAGAAAAAGAAUUUCUACUUUCUCAGAUAUGGUUCAAAAAAUCCUUAACAAAAUUAGGUGCUGGUCUUUUUAAUUUUUAUCUGUUGGUGGUAAAAGUGUUCUUAUUAAACAUGUUUUACAAGCUAUGCCUUCCCACCUAUUAGUAGUUAUGCAACCCCCUAAAACUGUUUUUGAAAUUAUUGACAAUGCUUUUAAUAGAUUUUUGUGGAGUGGUUCAGAUGGUAACAAGAAGCUCUAUUGGUCCUCUUGGGAUAAUCUGUCCUAUCCCAUCAAUGACGGAGGUGCUAAUUUUAGAAAACUUGCUGAUAUCAACAAGGCUUUCACCACCAAACAUUGGUGGAAGUUUAGAACUAAAAGAUCUUUGUGGUCCCUGUUUUUAAACACUAAAUACUGCUCCAGAAUUCAUCCGGUAACUAACAAAUGGAGGAAUGGCCAAUCCCAUAAUUGGAAGGCUAUGUGCUCUAUUAAAGAGUUAGUGGAGAAUAACUUGGGAUGGAUUAUUGAAAAAGGGGAGGUGUCCUUUUGGUAUGACAAUUGGACAGAUUUUGGCCCCCUUUACAAAUUUCUUGAUCCAAAUUCUAAGCCUAGUAAGUUGAGAAUCACUAAUGCCUACCAGAAUGGCCACUGGAAUUGGACAGCUUGUGGUUAUGUUGUCUCUGAUUUUAUUAAAGCUCAUAUUGAGAGGAUGCAGGUGGUCCUUUAUGAUAAACAUGAUUUGCCUAUAUGGAAAAUUACCUCUUCUGGAAAAUUCAAUAUUGAAAGUGCUUGAAAUUUUCUGAGGAAUUCCAUAAAUGAAAGCAACAUUGUUAAUGCCUUAUGUCAUAAAGCUAUCCCUUUUAAAAUGUCCUUCAUGCUUGGAGGGUGUUUCACAGAAAAAUACCUUCUAAUGAUAUUAUCAUUUCAAGGUUUAAGCUCCCUGCUUCUCCCAAUUGCACUUGUUGUAGGGUGUCCCAACUAGAAAAUAUAGAUCAUAUUUUUUUCCAAAGUUAUGCUGCCUCUUCUGCUUGGAAACACUUUGUUAACUCUUUUGGCAUUAGAGGCCCUAUGGUGUCUAUUCCAACUGUGUUUGAUAGCUAGAGGAAUACCAAGGCACUUAACCCCAUUAUAUACUUUAUCCUCAUUAUUUCCCCUAUUAUUAUUAUCUAGGAACUUUGGAAGGUGAGGUGCAAUAGAAAAUAUGGUAAUCAGAGACCAUACCUUCCAAAAAUCAUAUAUCAAAUUUCUCAAACAAUUUUGCUUAUAGUCAAAAUCCAUUUUCCAAUGUUUAAAAAUGAUCUUUCUUGGGAUGAGAUUUUGAGUUUGAAUGAUAAACACAUGAGGAUUAAAGUGUGUAAAAGUGUUUUAUGGUGCAAGCCUUCUGCCAAUCACUUUAAACUCAACAGUGAUGGUAGUUUUAGAAAUGGAAUUUGUGGAGGAGGAGGCAUCAUUAGAGAUUGGGAAGGUAAAAUGGUCAUGGUAUUUUCUGUUCAUCUGGGAAGAGGAUCUGCUAACAUAGCUGAAGCCAAAGCUAUGUUAUUUGGCAUCCAGUGGUGUAUUCUCAAUAACAUAACUUCCUUGGAACUGGAAACAGACUCUACGGUCCUAUUUUCAAGCAUAAAGGUUGUCUUCAAGGUUCCCUGGCAACUUAAUUCAAUCGUCAAGAAAUGUAGGGAUCUUCUCGAUAACAUUAAUCGGUCUAUUCAUCACUAUUUCAAGGAGGUCAAUCAGGUCGCAGAUAAACUAUCCUCCUUCACUAUGUUACACAGAAUGAGGCAAUCUAUUUGUCCUAUGAAGAGCUCCCAAACUAGGUCAAAGAAAGCAUGAAUAUGGAUACUUGGAAGAUUCCUAAUUUUCGAAUUAGGACUAAAAAACAUCAUGAAAUCGUCUAUGGGGAUGUUGCAUAGUCUCUACAUCCAGGUGCUAAGUUUUUCUAAGCUGUAUAUGAGUAAAGAGAGAAUCCCUCUCAUUUAUCUCUUACUGCUUUCUCUUUCAGUCUUUAGGUUGUUUAGAAGUAGGUUUAACUUUGUAAAGAUGUGGGUUUGUCCACAAUCUUCUAUUUUUGCUAAGAGGUUAGGCUUCAGAUACCUCUUUUGUGUAUUUGACUUUGAUAAAUAUACAUGGUAGGGGUCUGCCUAACCCCCCACCAGGAACGUGGCUUGAUUAAAAAAAAUACAACAAAGUUAAACAUAAUAUUAACUAUCUCAUAACACGCGUAUUUUAAUUUGCUAAUGCAUCGAAUUUGUAUAUGUAAAUCUAAAGGCAUGCCUGUACAAUUUGAAGAUUGAUCACAAUGUCGCCACUGGAUUCUGACUUUCAGCCAAAUCGGAGCUCUAAAACACUAGAGCCAUACCCACCGAGCAACAACCGGUUCAGUUUUUGAAACUAAGUGGAUGAAACCUCCGAAAUCGAUAAAAACCACAAAUUGGUUUUCCUUCUCAGCAACCUCCAUUAACGCCAAUAGUUUUCUCCUUCAAUUUCUAAAAUGAAAACCUCAGAUAUUUGUUUAUCAACGAAUCAAAUUAAGAUAUACUGAAAUAUAUUAGGGUUUUUAGUGGAGAGUGUAAAAGCUUUGAGUGGAAAAUGGAGUGUUUAAAGAGCCGAUAAUAAUAUUCUUCUUCUUUAUAUAUAUAUAUAAAGGUAUUCUGCUCUGGAAUUUCACUCAGUUCCGCAUGCACAUCAUAAGAACUAAGUUUCAAAUUGAACGCUUGCCCACUCUUUCCAAAUUAUUUUGAGAAUGUUCUAUAAAAAUAAUAGUAUAACACAAUUCUAUUACUUACUUGGCAUGGAAUUCACAAUUUCCAAGUCCAAUUAGUACAUCUAUUCCGAAUCGGAAAAGCUUAAUUUUAUAAUUCUAAGAAGCUCUCAAUUAUCUUCAGGAUGGCGCGGGACAUAAACAUCUGCAACAAACAGGAAAUUAACAACCAAUCCCAAAUCUGCAAGACUGCAAGAAGCAAAUGGAAUAUGUUGGGUUAAAGAGCAUUUUAAUAUUGCAAAAUAUUAUUGUUAAAAUGCUUAUUACUCCUACGCAUUGGUGACCAUAAAAGUGGCUGAAGUGGAUUCAUUUCUUACGUUGAGCAUGGUUGAAUGUGGCCAUUAUUUUUCCUUGUAACUCCUCUCACGUUAAUGGCCAUUAGAGCAAGAUAAUGACAAUUAUUUAUUUUGUAACAGUUGUAACCGCUAACCUUUUGCUCACCCAUAUUCUUCAUAGAGUAAUUUUUUAUAUUGAAGGAAGGUGUUCUGGUGGAGUUUUGGACUUUUCAACUAGUCCGAAGUUGUAUCAUGAAGGGGACAAGUCAGAGUUAUAUUGCUGGACCGGUGAAGAUUAUGUCGCAUUUGAAAAAUCACGGAUAUCAAGAAAAGAGAAGUCAACAUCAUUUCGCUUCGACGUCACUAGAUCUCUUUAAG